rnacentral:rRNA from 1 species
UGCGUAGGCGGCUCUCUAAGUCGGAUGUGAAAACUCUGGGCUCAACCCAGAGCCUGCAUCCGAAACUGGAGGGCUAGGGUUCUGGAGGGGAAAGCGGAAUUCCUGGUGUAGCGGUGAAAUGCGUAGAUAUCAGGAGGAACACCGGUGGCGAAGGCGGCUUUCUGGACAGAUACCGACGCUGAGGCACGAAAGCUAGGGGAGGCAAACA